rnacentral:rRNA from 1 species
ACAGUUCGGUCCCUAUCUGCCGUGGGCGCAAGAAGAUUGAGGAGAGUUGACCCUAGUACGAGAGGACCGGGUCGAACCAACCACUGGUGUACGAGUUGUCCUGCCAAGGGCACCGCUCGGUAGCUAUGUUGGGAUGUGAUAACUGCUGAAAGCAUCUAAGCAGGAAGCCAACUCCAAGAUGAAUCUUCUUUUAAGAGCUCAUAUAGACUAUGUGUUUGAUAGGCUGGGUGUGUAAUGGAUGAAAGUCCUUUAGCUGACCAGUACUAAUAGCUCGUCUGCUUAUCUUUUAAUAAGCAU